UGAGGAAUACUGGGCAAUGCCCGCAAGGGUGACCCAGCAACGCCGCGUGGAGGAUGAAUGUCGUAAGAUUGUAAACUCCUGUUAGAGGGGAAGAAUAGUACCGGUUGGACCGGUAUAUGACUGUACCCUCAGAGAAAGCCCCGGCUAACUACGUGCCAGCAGCCGCGGUAAUACGUAGGGGGCAAGCGUUGUCCGGAUUUACUGGGUGUAAAGGGCGCGCAGGCGGGAUAAAAAGUCAGUGGUGAAAUCCUACAGCUUAACUGUAGAACUGCCUUUGAUACUUUUACUCUUGAGUUCGGGAGAGAGAGACGGAAUUCCAGGUGUAGUGGUGAAAUACGUAGAUAUCUGGAAGAACACCAGUUGCGAAGGCGGUCUCUUGGUCCGACACUGACGCUGAGGCGCGAAAGCGUGGGGAGCAAACA
rnacentral:rRNA from 1 species